GGAAUGAGUAAAGCGGCGGACGGGUGAGUAACGCGUGAGAAUCUACCUUUUAGUGAAGAAUACCCUCGAGAAAUCGAGGUUAAUGCUGCAUACGUCCCUUCGGGGAGAAAGAUGGCCUCUUUGCUAUCGCUGAAAGAUGAGCUUGCGUACUAUUAGCUAGUUGGUGGGGUAAUGGCUUACCAAGGCGAAGAUGGUUAACCGGCCUGAGAGGGUGUACGGUCACAUUGGAACUGAGAUACGGUCCAGACUCC
rnacentral:rRNA from 1 species